rnacentral:lncRNA from 1 species
UUCUGCAUUCCAGCUGUGUGGGACUUGAAGCUGAAAACUGGGUCCCCUGUUCACACUUCAUACUGCCAGUUUGAGGGGUGGAGGAAAAUAAUGACAGAAAUGGCCAGAGGAACAGGUGUCUUUUUUUAGGUGCAAGCUGCACCUAGCAGUGUAGCAAAUGCCUAAAAAUAAAUGCAUAAGUGAAAGCAGAUAGGAUUUUUUUUUUUUUUUCCUAAUCCUGGAUUAAACACAAAGGACUACUUCCCCAUCUGCCUGUUUUAAUUUCUUUCCAGGCUGUAGCGGUGCUCAGCCUCAGUUCCUUCCCCUGGCUGAGCCUUAGGGGCCGCUCCCACCGGCUCCACGUGGUGUCACUCUCGAACUGUCCUGCGCGGGCAGCAUAGCUUUCGCCCGGCCAUCCGCCGCCUCCGUCGCUUCCCUUGCAAACAAAGUUCUCCUGGUAACAGAGUGUCUUCAUUUGGGGCUACUCAAACAGUGUUGGACGAACUUUAUCCCCGGAGUAAUUUCACUGGAGUGCAUGUGGCUGCAUGGGGUCUGUCUAUAAAGGGAUUUGAACCAAUGCGUGCUGAACAUUUAUGCAGGUAAAGUUAACUGAAUUUAGUUUUUCUUUAAAUAUCAGAAUAAACCAUGUGGAGGAGAAUUUCUUUAUGUUAGC